GAAGAGAACAGAAAAGGGACGCCAAGGUGCUGCUGACUCUCCAGUUUGCGUCUUUGCACUGUGUUGGAGGAAAUUGGUGUAUUCAAACUUUGUCUACUGGAAUCAGUUUGAUAGAGCAUUGAGCAGCAAUCGUAUUUUGCUUAAGGAAGCUCACUGCAUACAGUUGUUGCCAAGGCAUAACAGCAGAUGUUAUUUGAUGAACACACUGGAGACAAGACAUGAGUCUUUGAGUAUGGCGUCGGAGAGGGGCAGCCCUAGCAGUUCCUGACCUGUACAUUUCCACAUCGGUGUCACGUGAUCACAACAUCUAUGGGACCCCAGAAGUACUGAGAUAGAGUUGCUUUGUCCUAAAAAAUUUCUCAGACGGAUGGUAAAUCGUCAAAGGUUUUAGCUACCUGGGAGAGAAAACCAGUUGGAAUCACAGUAGAAACUGUGAAUUUUAAAGUAUCAGUAAAGAAUGGAGCUUCUGACUCCCAGGCCGACUAUGUACCAGGCAGCGUGCUAGAGCAUCCCAAGCCAGGAAACAAGAGCGCUCUUAUAAGGGGUAGAGUACCACAUGAUAGCCUCAAAGGUCAUGAUUGAAGCAUUUUCUGAUUGAGUGAGUAGAAGGGAGAACACUGAAAUGAUAGAUCUGUGAGAAACAAUUUUUUGAUGAAUCAAAAUCUAAUGUGAAACUGGCCCCAAACAUUGAUGCUCAAGCAGACAGACGUAAUAUAUGCAGAUUAUUAGGGGGAAUUUUAAAUGUUCAACAAGCUGCUGAUUCCAAGCAGAUCAAGUAGAAAUAAAGAAAUAUAGAGAUUUAGCACACACUGAGCCUACAAAUUCACCCAGAAGGUAAAUGGUCCUAAGUAUUACUUUCAGAAAUAACUUCUCACAAAGGCCAAGAAUGAUCUUUCCUUUUUCAACAGCCUAGCACACUCCACAUUUCCACUAUCAGAGAAAGCGUCGUUUUCCGUAUUUUUAGCUGAGACUCUCGUUUUAAAAACAUGACCAUUCUUUCAUUUAACAAACAAACAACACAGCUGCUAUCAUCCCACAAAAUUCUAAGAGUUUACGUAUUUUAUACACCGGAAGAGCCACCCACAUUGUCCAAGAUGAACUUGGUUUUCUAUGUAAAAAUCCUCAAAGGGCGAUCAAGAGAUUGCGCAAACACAGCCUAUGACAUUUUAUAUGUAAAGAAAGAUGCCAGUUUCCUGAGGUUCUUUAGAUGCAAUCUAAACAAACAUUGCACAAAAAAAUCCUUUAAGCUAAGCUUCUUUAAGACAGGGACGAGACACCAAAGAACAAUUUCUUGUGUGUGUGUGUGUGUGUGUGUAAUUUGUUUUUCAUCAUGCCAAAUUUUUGGAAAAAA